UGAUUAGUGGUGUACGGUGCACUCAGGUUUUUGAUCCCUGAAGAACAGGUUCGACUCCUUUCUUUUCAA
rnacentral:tRNA from 1 species